AUGGGGAUGGAUUGUUGGGAUUGGAGGACUUUACGAAGCUAAUGGAAGGAAUGGAAGAAGAGAGGAAUAAGGAGAGUGAGUUGAUAGGAGCAUUUGGAAUGUAUGAAAUGGAGGGGAGUGGCUACAUUACUCCUAAGAGCUUGAAGAGGAUGCUGAGUCGACUCGGUGAGUCAACUUCCAUUGAUAAUUGCAAAGCUAUGAUUCAGAGAUUUGAUAUCAAUGGAGAUGGAGUUCUCAGCUUUGAUGAGUUCAAAGUUAUGAUGACAAGUUAAACCUAAGAGCUUGAAGAGGAUGUUGAGUCAACUCGGUGAGUCAACUUCCAUUGACAACUGCAAAACUAUGAUACGGAGGUUUGAUCU
rnacentral:lncRNA from 1 species